CGCACCUUGCGCUCCUUGGUAUUCCGAGGAGCAUGCCUGUUUGAGUGUCAUUAAAUUCUCAACCUCACCCGUUUUGUAAUGAGACAGGUGAAGGCUUGGAUGUGGGGGUUUUGCAGGCUGCCAUAGUGCUGGUCUGCUCCUCUGAAAUGCAUUAGCGAGCUUAUACUGAGCUUCCGUCUAUUGGUGUGAUAAUUAUCUACGCCGUGGAUUUGGACUCUGUGCUUGCUUCUAACCGUCUGCAAGGACAAUUUACUUGACCAAUUUGACCUCAAAUCAGGUAGGACUACCCGCUGAACUUAA
rnacentral:misc_RNA from 1 species